CCCCUUCGGAGCACGAUAACCUCGGGAAACUGAGGCUAAUAGUGCAUAUCACACCCACUCUGGAGUGAGGAGUGUGUCAAAAGCUCCGGCGCCGAAGGAUGUGGCUGCGGCCGAUUAGGUAGACGGUGGGGUAACGGCCCACCGUGCCGAUAAUCGGUACGGGUCAUGAGAGUGAGAACCCGGAGACGGAAUCUGAGACAAGAUUCCGGGCCCUACGGGGCGCAGCAGGCGCGAAACCUUUACACUGCACGCCAGUGCGAUAAGGGAAUCCCAAGUGCACAGGCAUAGAGCCUGUGCUUUUCUGAACCGUAGGGAGGUUCAGGAACAAGGGCUGGGCAAGACCGGUGCCAGCCGCCGCGGUAAUACCGGCAGCCCAAGUGAUGGCCGAUUUUAUUGGGCCUAAAGCGUCCGUAGCUGGCCGCGCAAGUCUAUCGGGAAAUCUAUCCGCUCAACGGAUAGACGCCCGGUGGAAACUGCGUGGCUUGGGACCGGAAGGCGCGAAGGGUACGUCCGGGGUAGGAGUGAAAUCCUGUAAUCCUGGACGGACCGCCGAUGGCGAAAGCACUUCGCGAGGACGGAUCCGACAGUGAGGGACGAAAGCUAGGGUCUCGAACCGGAUUAGAUACCCGGGUAGUCCUAGCCGUAAACGAUGCCUGUUAGGUGUGGCUCCCACUACGAGUGGGUGCUGUGCCGUAGGGAAGCCGCUAAACAGGCCGCCUGGGAAGUACGUCCGCAAGGAUGAAAUUCAAA
rnacentral:rRNA from 1 species